UACAGAGGUCUCAAGCGUUUGUUCGGAUUCAUUGGGCGUAAAGGGUGCGUAGGUGGCGCUGUAAGUCGGGUGUGAAAUUUCGGAGCUUAACUCCGAAACUGCAUUCGAUACUGCGGUGCUUGAGGACUGGAGAGGAGACUGGAAUUCAUGGUGUAGCAGUGAAAUGCGUAGAGAUCAUGAGGAAGACCAGUGGCGAAGGCGGGUCUCUGGGCAGUAACUGACGCUGAGGAGCGAAAAGCUAGGGGGAGCGAACAGG
rnacentral:rRNA from 1 species